AGCAGUGUGGUGUAAUGGUAACAAGUAAGGCUCGUAACCAAAAAGUUGUUGGUUCAAUUUCCCACUGGGG